AUACCAUGAUGAGGACACUUACGAAGCAAUUCCUUGAAUCUUUCCCAUGCCCUGUAUAAGGACUAAUCAUCCAAUUGUUAAAAAGUAGUUAUCUCAUUUCGCAUCUU
rfam:Gossypium raimondii Chr10_contig_325, whole genome shotgun sequence.